rnacentral:rRNA from 1 species
AACGGUAACAGGAAAUAGCUUNGGCUAUUUUGCUGACGAGUGGGCGCACGGGUGAGUAAACUAUAGUUAAUNGUACCCCAAAGACUGGGAUAGCCACUGGAAACGGUGAUUAAUACUAGAUACACCUUCUUAUCACAAGGUAAGAAGGGAAAUGUCUUUUCGCUUUGGGAUCAGACUAUAUCCUAUCAGCUAGUUGGUGAGGUAAUGGCUCACCAAGGCAAUGACGGGUAGCGGUUCUGAGAGGAUGAUCCGCCACACUGGUACUGAGACACGGACCAGACUCCUACGGGAGGCAGCAGUGAGGAAUAUUGCACAAUGGGGGGAACCCUGAUGCAGCAACGCCGCGUGGAGGAUGACGCAUUUCGGUGUGUAAACUCCUUUUAUAUGUCAAGAAAAUGACGGUAGCAUAUGAAUAAGCACCGGCUAACUCCGUGCCA